UACGUAGGUGGCGAGCGUUGUCCGGAUUUACUGGGCGUAAAGGGAGCGUAGGCGGACUUUUAAGUGAGAUGUGAAAUACCCGGGCUCAACUUGGGUGCUGCAUUUCAAACUGGAAGUCUAGAGUGCAGGAGAGGAGAAUGGAAUUCCUAGUGUAGCGGUGAAAUGCGUAGAGAUUAGGAAGAACACCAGUGGCGAAGGCGAUUCUCUGGACUGUAACUGACGCUGAGUCUCGAAAGCGUGGGGAGCAAACAGGAUUAGAUACCCGGGUAGU
rnacentral:rRNA from 1 species